rnacentral:rRNA from 1 species
UAUUAAGUUAAGCACUCUAACGAGACUGCCGCGGUUAACGUGGAGGAAGGUGGGGAUGACGUCAAAUCAUCAUGCCCCUUAUGUCUAGGGCUACACACGUGCUACAAUGGCUGGUACAACGAGCAGCGAACCCGCGAGGGGGAGCAAAACUUGAAAGCCAGUCCCAGUUCGGAUUGUAGGCUGAAACUCGCCUACAUGAAGUUGGAGUUGCUAGUAAUCGCGAAUCAGCAUGUCGCGGUGAAUACGUUCCCGGGUCUUGUACACACCGCCCGUCACACCAUGAGAGCCGGUAACACCCGAAGCCCGUGAGGUAACCGUAAGGAGCCAGCGGUCGAAGGUGGGAUUGGUGAUUGGGGUGAAGUCGUAACAAGGUAGCCGUAGGAGAACCUGCGGCUGGAUCACCUCCUUUCUAGGGAGA